UAAGGAAUAUUGGUCAAUGGACGCAAGUCUGAACCAGCCAUGCCGCGUGAAGGAUGAAGGUCCUCUGGAUUGUAAACUUCUUUUAUCUGGGACGAAAACGGGAUUUUUAUCUCAAUUGACGGUACCAGAGGAAUAAGCACCGGCUAACUCCGUGCCAGCAGCCGCGGUAACACGGAGGGUGCGAGCGUUAUCCGGAUUUACUGGGUUUAAAGGGUGCGUAGGUGGGUAUGUAAGUCAGUGGUGAAAUCCCCGAGCUUAACUUGGGAACUGCCAUUGAUACUAUAUAUCUUGAAUACCGUAGAGGUAAGCGGAAUAUGUCAUGUAGCGGUGAAAUGCUUAGAUAUGACAUGGAACACCAAUUGCGAAGGCAGCUUACUAUGCGGUGAUUGACACUGAGGCACGAAAGCGUGGGUAGCAAACA
rnacentral:rRNA from 1 species